CACUUCAAAUGCAGUAAUUCCAAACCCCGUCAAGGUAAAACUUGCUCAAAUCAGUUCAAACACAGUAAUUCCAAACCCCGUCGAGCUAAACUUGCUCAAAUCAAUACAAGCACAGUAAUUCCAAACCCCGUGAACGUAAAUAAACUUUGCCAACAAUUCUAGUAAUAAUAUCUACAGUCUUCUUCCAUUGCCUAAAUCAUUCUAUUCUUUCCAGGGUUAAUUCCCCUCCAUUAACCGCGCGAUCCGCCAAUAAAUAAUCACUCAAAACCCUAAUUAAAUAAUCAAUUUACUAACCGAUCCAAUUAAGAAACCCUAGAAUAUAUUCCACCAAGUCUCAGUAACC